rnacentral:hammerhead_ribozyme from 1 species
GCAUUGCCGAGGAGUCCCACAAUAGAACGAAACGGCCGUCUAGUGU